rnacentral:rRNA from 1 species
GACGAACGCUGGCGGCGUGCCUAAUACAUGCAAGUAGAACGCUGAAGGAGGAGCUUGCUUCUCUGGAUGAGUUGCGAACGGGUGAGUAACGCGUAGGUAACCUGCCUGGUAGCGGGGGAUAACUAUUGGAAACGAUAGCUAAUACCGCAUAAGAGUAGAUGUCGCAUGACAUUUGCUUAAAAGGUGCAAUUGCAUCACUACCAGAUGGAACUGCGUUGUAUUAGCUAGUUGGUGAGGUAACGGCUCACCAAGGCAACGAUACAUAGCCGACCUGAGAGGGUGAUCGGCCACACUGGGACUGAGACACGGCCCAGACUCCUACGGGAGGCAGCAGUAGGGAAUCUUCGGCAAUGGACGGAAGUCUGACCGAGCAACGCCGCGUGAGUGAAGAAGGUUUUCGGAUCGUAAAGCUCUGUUGUAAGAGAAGAACGAGUGUGAGAGUGGAAAGUUCACACUGUGACGGUAUCUUACCAGAAAGGGACGGCUAACUACGUG